GCCGCCGCUCCCGCCUCGAGGACCCCGGGAGCCGGCCUCGGCGCGCCGGGGGCGCUUCUCCCUCCCUGGGAGGGUCUGGGCCGUGGGGCGAGGCCUCAUGGAGGCUCUGGACCCCGAGAGCUGCGGAGGCGUCUCGGCGCCUGGGGCUGAUGGCCGGCCGGCGCCGGUGGAGAGGGUGCAUUUCCGUGUAACGAGGUUCAUCAUGGAAGCAGGCGUCAAACUCGGGAUGCACUCCAUUCCCAUUGCCACUGCGUGUACCAUUUACCAUAAAUUCUUCUGCGAGAUCAACGUGGACGCCUAUGACCCAUACCUAGUCGCCAUGUCUUCCAUUUAUCUGGCUGGCAAAGUGGAGGAGCAGCACCUGCGGACCCGAGAUAUCAUCAACGUGUCCUACAGGUACUUUAACCCAGGUAGCGAGCCCCUGGAGCUGGACUCGCGCUUCUGGGAGCUUCGGGACAGCAUCGUGCAAUGUGAGCUCGUCGUGCUUCGAGUUCUGCGCUUCCAGGUGUCCUUCCAGCACCCCCACAAGUACCUGCUCCACUACCUGGUCUCCCUCAAGAACUGGCUGAACCGUUACAGCUGGCAGCGGACUCCCAUCUCUGUCACAGCCUGGGCCUUGCUGCGGGACAGCUACCAUGGUGGGCUGUGUCUCCGUUUCCGGGCACAACACCUGGCUGUGGCUGUGCUCUACAUGGCCCUGCAGGUCUAUGGAGUUGAAGUGCCUGCUGAGGCCGAGGCCGAGGCCGAGAAGCCGUGGUGGCAGCUGCUGCUUCUUGCCAUGACUGCCUCCUGUCACCUGUGGGCCACGGGCUUAGCAAGAGAGCCCAGCACUUCCCUGCCAGCAGCUGGCCCGCAUGUUGGCACGUGUGUGCCGAGGCAUGUUGCAGCCUUGGGGCCUGGGAGGCAAAGCUCUGACCACAAGAUGAAUCGGGGCAGCGAGGGGUCAGCGGUGCCAACAGUCUUCACAGUGUUCCAGAGAGCUCCACAUGCAGAGCCACACCAGGGCUCCCUGUACGCCUUCCUAAAAAUUGGGAGGAUGUGCUGACGGAUGUGGAAGAAAAAAUGUGCCUCUUCGGCACUUCAGGUCUGCAGUUAGUGAGAGUAAGCACAUUUGUGCAGCCUUCCACCGUCCGUCCCUGAAACUCUCCUGCACAGCCAGCCUGCCCCAGGAGACACCAGUUCCCUGUGCCCCUGUGUCUAGCCCCUGGCACCAGGCAGUCCCCCGCCAUGUAUCUGUGAUUGGCCAUUCUAGGAGCGUCCUGCAUGUGGGAGCACACAGUAUUGGUCCCUUAGUGGCUGGCUCAUUUCACUGAGUGCCAUGUCCCCAAGGGUCAUCCAUGCUGUCCUGCGUGUCAGCAUCUCCGUCCUUUUGUAUUUAUUGAUUGAUUGUUUUGGUCUUACUAUGCAGUUCAUGCUGGCCUUGAACUCACCGCAAUCCCCCUGCCUCAGCCUCCCUAGUUCUGGGAUGACAGGCGUGCGCCACUCAUCCACAGAUACUCACAUGAUUUAUUCCAUGGACACAGAGAUCCCCUAAGGCCCUGGCCCAGGCCUACCCAAAGAGAAACCCAGGAUGGCCAGCUGCCUGGGGAUGGUGCCACCAUAUCGCUGUGACGGCUGGUCCCCAGAGGACCAGCUGGGAGGACUGGUUGUGCUGCUGGAGGCGGGCUGGUGAAGGCAAUGACAUGCUGCCGCUCUGACUGUCCCCAGCAGCCACGGUCCCCAUGUGCUGCUGCCCAGGCGGCACUUCUGCUUUAGUCCUUUGAGAGGACUCUGCACUUGAGGCACUAUGUCACUGGCAGGGCAUUCAGAGGACAGACGGGACUGCACCCCUAGGGGUUUUUUAAAAGUCAGACUUGUAGAAAGUUUGACAUGUGAUAUAGAUGGAAUUUUAUUUUGUAUAAUAAAAGACAAUGCAAAUCAACAGA